rnacentral:lncRNA from 1 species
GCACUUGUUUGUUUAUUGACUUACUUACUAGUACACUUCAUUUGUUUUUUCCAAUAUUGUAAGUAUUUGUCAGCAAUAUUUUGUCUUUGGAAUGAUUGUAGUGUAUAUAUGUCCAUUCGUCCAGGAUUAAUCUCACAUUAAUCUCCAGGAUAAUUGACAAUGUUAAGAUUGUGUAAUACCUGUAGCAGAAUCUUUAUCUUAAGCACUUUCAACA